rnacentral:rRNA from 1 species
AUUGAACGCUGGCGGCAGGCCUAACACAUGCAAGUCGAGCGAGCGGCGGACGGGUGAGUAAUGUCUGGGAAACUGCCUGAUGGAGGGGGAUAACUACUGGAAAAGGUAGCUAAUACCGCAUACCAUCAGAUGUGCCCAGAUGGGAUUAGCUAGUAGGUGGGGUAACGGCUCACCUAGGCGACUAUCCCUAGCUGGUCUGAGAGGAUGAACAUCCACACGGGAACUGUGACACGGUCCAGACGCCUACGGGAGGCAGCAGUGGGGAAUAUUGCACAAUGGGCGCAAGCCUGAUGCAGCCAUUCCGCGUGUGUGAAGAAGGCCUUCGGGUUGUAAAGCACUUUCAGCGGGGAGGCGUUACCCGUAGAAGAAGCACCGGCUAACUCCGUGCCAGCAGCCGCGGUAAUUC